rnacentral:rRNA from 1 species
UAGGGAAUCUUCCGCAAUGGACGAAAGUCUGACGGAGCGACGCCGCGUGAGCGAAGAAGGUCUUCGGAUCGUAAAGCUCUGUUGUUAGGGAAGAAGAAGUGCCGUUCGAACAGGGCGGCACGGUGACGGUACCUAACGAGAAAGCCCCGGCUAACUACGUGCCAGCAGCCGCGGUAAUACGUAGGGGGCGAGCGUUGUCCGGAAUUAUUGGGCGUAAAGCGCGCGCAGGCGGUCCCUUAAGUCUGAUGUGAAAGCCAACGGCUUAACCGUGGAGGGGCAUUGGAAACUGGGGGACUUGAGUGCAGAAGAGGAGAGCGGAAUUCCACGAGUAGCGGAGAAAUGCGUAGGGAUGUGGAGGAACACCAGUGGCGAAGGCGGCUCUCUGGUCUGUAACUGACGCUGAGGCGCGAAAGCGUGGGGAGCAAACAGG